rnacentral:tRNA from 1 species
AUUUAGGUAGCUUAAUUAAAAGUUUGAUAUUGAAAAUAUCAGGAUAGUUUUUACUCUUAAAUA